CCCUUAGAUACUCUGGGCGGUACGCGCGCUACACUGGUUUAUAUAACGUGUAAUUUGGACGAUAGUCUGUAUAAAUCACUAAUAUAAAACCGUGAAUGGGAUAGUUUAUUGCAACUUACAAACUUUAACUAGGAAUCCCUUGUAGAAGUAGUGAAUUAUACUGCUUCGAAUACGUCCCUGCCGAUUGUACACACCGCCCGUCGUUUCUUCCGACUGGUACUCAUUGUGAAUUGCGAGGAGAUUCUGUCAAAUCGUUGUAAAUGCUGGGUAUUGGAGGAAGAAAAAGUCGUAACA
rnacentral:rRNA from 1 species